rnacentral:rRNA from 1 species
UACGUAGGGGGCAAGCGUUGUCCGGAAUUAUUGGGCGUAAAGGGCGCGUAGGCGGCCUGCUAAGUCGAACGUGAAAUCCCCGGGCUCAACCCGGGAACUGCGUCCGAUACUGGCAGGCUUGAAUCCGGGAGAGGGAUGUGGAAUUCCAGGUGUAGCGGUGAAAUGCGUAGAUAUCUGGAGGAACACCGGUGGCGAAGGCGGCAUCCUGGACCGGUAUUGACGCUGAUGCGCGAAAGCCAGGGGAGCAAACGGG